ACUGCAAGUCGAACGGGUAGCACAGAGAGCUUGCUCUCGGGUGACGAGUGGCGGACGGGUGAGUAAUGUCUGGGAAACUGCCUGAUGGAGGGGGAUAACUACUGGAAACGGUAGCUAAUACCGCAUAACGUCGCAAGACCAAAGAGGGGGACCUUCGGGCCUCUUGCCAUCAGAUGUGCCCAGAUGGGAUUAGCUAGUAGGUGGGGUAACGGCUCACCUAGGCGACGAUCCCUAGCUGGUCUGAGAGGAUGACCAGCCACACUGGAACUGAGACACGGUCCAGACUCCUACGGGAGGCAGCAGUGGGGAAUAUUGCACAAUGGGCGCAAGCCUGAUGCAGCCAUGCCGCGUGUAUGAAGAAGGCCUUCGGGUUGUAAAGUACUUUCAGCGGGGAGGAAGGUGUUGUGGUUAAUAACCGCAGCAAUUGACGUUACCCGCAGAAGAAGCACCGGCUAACUCCGUGCCAGCAGCCGCGGUAAUACGGAGGGUGCAAGCGUUAAUCGGAAUUACUGGGCGUAAAGCGCACGCAGGCGGUCUGUCAAGUCGGAUGUGAAAUCCCCGGGCUCAACCUGGGAACUGCAUUCGAAACUGGCAGGCUAGAGUCUUGUAGAGGGGGGUAGAAUUCCAGGUGUAGCGGUGAAAUGCGUAGAAAA
rnacentral:rRNA from 1 species